UCCCACGUGGUCUAGUAACUUGAAUAUCUGGCUUUCACCCAGAAGGCCCGGGUUCGAUUCCCGUAGUGCGAU